rnacentral:rRNA from 1 species
GAUGAACGCUGGCGGCGUGCCUAAUACAUGCAAGUCGAGCGAACGGACGAGAAGCUUGCUUCUCUGAUGUUAGCGGCGGACGGGUGAGUAACACGUGGAUAACCUACCUAUAAGACUGGGAUAACUUCGGGAAACCGGAGCUAAUACCGGAUGAUAUUUUGAACCGCAUGGUUCAAAAGUGAAAGACGGUCUUGCUGUCACUUAUAGAUGGAUCCGCGCUGCAUUAGCUAGUUGGUAAGGUAACGGCUUACCGAGGCAACGAUGCAUAGCCGACCUGAGAGGGUGAUCGGCCACACUGGAACUGAGACACGGUCCAGACUCCUACGGGAGGCAGCAGUAGGGAAUCUUCCGCAAAGGGCGAAAGCCUGACGGAGCAACGCCGCGUGAGUGAUGAAGGUCUUCGGAUCGUAAAACUCUGUUAUUAGGGAAGAACAUAUGUGUAAGUAACUGUGCACAUCUUGACGGUACCUAAUCAGAAAGCCACGGCUAACUACGUG